rnacentral:rRNA from 1 species
AUUGAACGCUGGCGGCAGGCCUAACACAUGCAAGUCGAGCGGCAGCGGAAAGUAGCUUGCUCCUUUGCCGGCGAGCGGCGGACGGGUGAGUAAUGUCUGGGAAACUGCCUGAUGGAGGGGGAUAACUACUGGAAACGGUAGCUAAUACCGCAUAACGUCGCAAGACCAAAGAGGGGGACCUUCGGGCCUCUUGCCAUCAGAUGUGCCCAGAUGGGAUUAGCUAGUAGGUGGGGUAACGGCUCACCUAGGCGACGAUCCCUAGCUGGUCUGAGAGGAUGACCAGCCACACUGGAACUGAGACACGGUCCAGACUCCUACGGGAGGCAGCAGUGGGGAAUAUUGCACAAUGGGCGCAAGCCUGAUGCAGCCAUGCCGCGUGUAUGAAGAAGGCCUUCGGGUUGUAAAGUACUUUCAGCGGGGGGGAAGGUGUUGAGGUUAAUAACCUCAGCAAUUGACGUUACCCGCAGAAGAAGCACCGGCUAACUCCGUG